rnacentral:rRNA from 1 species
UGGCUCAGGAUGAACGCUGGCGGCGUGCUUAACACAUGCAAGUCGAACGAAGCAUUCCAACUCUCGGAGGAAGAAAUGACUGAGUGGCGGACGGGUGAGUAACGCGUGGGUAACCUGCCUUAUACAGGGGGAUAACAGUUAGAAAUGACUGCUAAUACCGCAUAACCCGCUAGUACCGCAUGGUACAGACGGAAAAGAUUUAUCGGUAUAAGAUGGACCCGCGUCUGAUUAGCUAGUUGGUGAGGUAAUGGCUCACCAAGGCGACGAUCAGUAGCCGGCUUGAGAGAGUGAACGGCCACAUUGGGACUGAGACACGGCCCAAACUCCUACGGGAGGCAGCAGUGGGGAAUAUUGCACAAUGGGGGAAACCCUGAUGCAGCAACGCCGCGUGAAGGAAGAAGUAUUUCGGUAUGUAAACUUCUAUCAGCAGGAAAGAAAAUGACGGUACCUGACUAAGAAGCCCCGGCUAACUACGUGCCAGCCGCCGC